GUCUGUAAUCCCAACUGCUUGGGAGGAAGAGGCAAGAGAAUCACUUGCAAAUGGGAGGUGGAGGGGUUUCCUCCCAUCUCAAGAUCAAAAAGGUUGACAGGCGGGUCGAGUCUAAGAAUCUGGCGAUGAAGAAGGGAAGAAGCACAGCAGCGGCAUCAUGGCUGACCUCAGUGAACAGAGCCUGAAGGAUGGGGAGGAGGACCCAGAAGAAGAACACGAGCUGCCUGUGGACAUGGAAACCAUCAACCUGGACAGAGAUGCAGAGGAUGUUGAUUUGAAUCACUACCGCAUUGGGAAGAUUGAAGGAUUUGAGGUACUGAAGAAAGUGAAGACUCUCUGCCUCUGCCAAAAUUUAAUUAAAGGCAUUGAGAAUCUGGAGGAGCUACAGAGUCUUCGAGAGCUGGAUCUUUACAACAACCAGAUCAAGAAGAUUGAGAAUCUGAAGGCAAUAACAGCGCUGGAGAUUCUAGAUAUUUCUUUUAAUCUUCGGAGAAACAUCGAAGGUGUUGACAAGUUGACACAACUGCAAAAACUCUUGGUCAACAAUAAAAUCAGUAAAAUUGAAAAUUUAAGCAACUUACAUCAACUACAGAUGCUAGAGCUGGGAUCUAACCACAUCCAGGCAAUCGAAAAUACUGAUACAUUAACCAAUCUGGAGAGUUUGUUUUUGGGGAAAAACAAAAUUACUAAACUUCAGAACCUGGAUGCACUCACCAACCUACGGUCCUCAGUAUGCAGAGCAACCGGCUGACCCAAGAUCGAGGGUCUGCAGAACCUGGUGAACCUGCGGGAGCUGUACCUCAGCCACAACAGCAUCGAGGUCAUCAAGGGCCUGGAGAACAAUAACAAACGCAUCAUGUUGGACAUUGCAUAAAAUAGAAUCAAAAAAGAUUGAAAGAUUGAAAACAUCAGCCAUCUAACAGAGCUGCAAGAAUUCUGGAUGAAUGACAAUCUUCUUGAGAGCUGGAGUGACCUUGACGAGCUGAAGGGAGCCUGGAGACGGUGUACCUGGAGCGGAACCCCCUGCAGAAGGACCCCCAGUACUGGAGAAAGGUCAUGCUCGCCCUCCCCCCUGUGCGGCAGAUCGAUGCCACGUUCAUCAGGUUCUGAAUCCUCCUUGCUCCUCACGGGGUCCCUGUCCUCGAAAGAACUGCCCAACCACAGUUUUUUAACCCACCUGUUGCUCCUGAGGUCAUCACUGUAUCAACAGUCACAAACCCAGUGGCAAUAAAGGCACUGACAAUAGCUGACGCAUGAUGCCACGCACUUUUUCAGAUGCCAUUGCAAUUAAACCUUGCCACACAGUC